rnacentral:lncRNA from 1 species
GUGAUUUUUUCUUAAAAUUUUGAGACAAGAUGUUUCAUUACAUUUGGAACAAAAUAGGAUAAAAAAAAAUUGGGGUCACCGACUUCGUUUUGUCUCCAUAGCGACCUCAAUUUCAUGGCUUUUGCCAAAUUGUCGAUUGUUUCGUUUCUUUUUCAAGUGGCGAUUAUUCAAUUAAUAUUGAAGCUAAAACCAAAAUUUUUUUUCCACACAUACCAGAAGAUUUGUAUCUAUCAAAUAAAUACACUACAUCAUAUCAUCUAGUUUGCUUUAGUUUCUUAAAUCGGGUUUUAUUUCAUUCCCGCCAAAACAUAUAUGCCAAAGUAAAAU